CAGAGAAGAAAGCCAUGUGAAGACAGAGAAGAGAAGGAUUUGAAGACACUGGAUGUGAGAAUUAGAGUGAUGUGGCCAUAAGCCAAGGAAUGCUGUAGCUCCCAGAAGCUGGAAGAGGCAAGGAACAGUUUCUCUCCUAAAGCCUCCAGAGGGAGCACAGCCCCACUGAUGGAUUGAUUUCAGUUUGGUGGCACUGAUUUCAGACUUCUGGUCUCCAGGACUGUGAGGUAAUAAAUUUCUGUUGUUUUAAGACCAAAAGUUCAUGGUAAUUAUAGCAACCACAGGCAACGAAUACACAAACCAACUUUCUUUUUAGACAGUACUGGAUAAUGGGGUAAAUAAAUUUGUGUCCAGCCAGCAUUUUAUGUUACUGUUUUUUUUUGUUUUUUGUUUUUUGUUUUUUUGUGAGACAGGGUCUUGCUAUGUUGUUUAUGCCAAUCUCGAACACCUGGGCCCCAGUGAUCCAGUCUCAGCCUCCUGAGUAGCUGGGACUACAGGCAUAGGCCACCACCCCCAGCCGGCAUUUUAAUAAAGGAUUGGCAAACUCACUGGUAAUGACGGUGUUUUUUGGUGGGAUUUAUGGCAGAUUGCACGUCUAUCAGCAAAGUGUUUG
rnacentral:lncRNA from 1 species